CCGGCAAUAUCAUAUUGAAAAACCGGUUCCCAUACGAUCACUAAAGUCAAGCAACACCGAGCCUGGUUAGUAUCUAGAUGGGUGACCGCUAAGGAAUACCA